GCCUGGGUGGCUCAGUCGGUUGAGCAUCUGACUUCAGCUCAGGUCAUGAUCUCGCGUUCAUGAGUUUGAGCCCCACGUCAGGCU
rnacentral:tRNA from 1 species